rnacentral:misc_RNA from 1 species
UGAGGCGAAUGUGAUAACCAAC